UACAGGGGGGGCAAGCGUUGUUCGGAAUUACUGGGCGUAAAGGGUUUGUAGGUGGCUUGCUAAGUCAGACGUGAAAUCCCUCAGCUUAACUGGGGAACUGCGUCUGAUACUGGCGAGCUUGAGUGCAGGAGAGGAACGCGGAAUUCCAGGUGUAGCGGUGAAAUGCGUAGAUAUCUGGAGGAACACCGGUGGCGAAGGCGGCGUUCUGGACUGCAACUGACACUGAAAAACGAAAGCCAGGGGAACAAACGGG
rnacentral:rRNA from 1 species